rnacentral:rRNA from 1 species
AGACUAACUAGGAUUCCCCUAGUAACUGCGAGUGAAGAGGGAAGAGCUCAUCAUUGGAAUCUGACGGUGUUGCACCGUCCGAGUUGUAGAUGAGGAGUAGUUCGUCUGGACUGCAUGGCAUCCAAGUACAAUAGGCCGUCAGUGGGACAUCAUAGAGGGUGACAAUCCCGUCCUUGAUGCCAAUGUACAAGUCCGUUACGAUGACUAUCUCAGAGAGUCGAGCAGUUUGGGAUUUGCUGCUUAAACAUGGGAGGUAGAUUCCUUCUAAAGCUAAAUACAGGCGAGAGACCGAUAGAGAACAAGUACCGCAAGGGAAAGAUGAAAUAGAACUCUGUGAAGGGAGUCAAAAGGCGUGAAAUUGUUGCGAGAGAAGCGAUUCAAGUCAGCGUAGCUAGGCCCAUCAAGCUUUAUCGCUUUGGACUAGCUUUGCCAGCGGUCUUGUCCCAUAGAGACUUGACUUUUGUAUGCCCAGCCUGGUCUAUACAGGUAGCCCCUCUUGGGGGCCAGUGGCAUGGCUGGUGGAAUGGCUUGCAAUCGACCCGUCUUGAAACACGGACCAAGGAGUCUAACAUGUAUGCGAGUAUAAGGGUGGCAAACCCGUAUGCGCAAUGAAAGUGACUUUCGUUGAUUGAGAAUGGCCUGACGACCAGACAAGCAAUACAUGUCCCUCGAACGGCCAUUGCCCAAGUUCCGUGGUAGAACCCACGAACAUGGAGUUGGAGCAUACAUGCUAGGACCCGAAAGAUGGUGAACUAUGCCUGGACAAAGCGAAGCCAAAGGAAACUCUGGUGGAGGCUUGUAGCGAUUCUGACGUGCAAAUCGAUCGUCUGAUCUGGGUAUAGGGGCGAAAGACUAAUCGAAC